rnacentral:rRNA from 1 species
CGUGUAGGCGGUUGUUCAAGUCGGGUGUGAAAGCCUUGAGCUCAACUCAAGAAAUGCACUCGAUACUGGAUGACUAGAGGACCGGAGAGGAUAGUGGAAUUCCCAGUGUAGUGGUGAAAUACGUAGAGAUUGGGAAGAACACCAGUGGCGAAGGCGGCUAUCUGGACGGUUUCUGACGCUAAGACGCGAAAGCGUGGGGAGCAAACA